AUCAUGGCAGCGUUCCUGCCUGAGGAGGGUGCUGCAAGAAUCUUUUUUCCUGUUGCCUCCAGAGACACUCUGUGUGCUAAGUCACUUCGGUCGUGUCCAACUCUGUGUGACCCUACGGACUGUAGCCUGCCAGGCUCCUCUGCCCAUGGGAUUCUCUAGGAAGCACAAGGAGAUUUUUCUUCAGUGUUUACUCUGGGGACCUGGUCAAGCUCCUGGAGGAAACCCUUAACAAUAUUAUCCAAGAAGAAUCGUCGAUUUUUCAGUCUGUUCAGCUUUUUGCUUGUUAGGACAGAGUGUCUAGUAAAGAAUCUACAACCCUGUGAUGAGAAAACUGUGUUCUCAUAGAGAAUGGAAGAGAUAGAAAGCCUGUGCCUCCAAGUAUAAUAGAAGUGCCUCCUGGCUUUGCGGUAUCUCCAGUCAAUGAAACCACAAGCCACACAGGAUAUUCGAUCCUUCUAAUGCUGUUAGCUGUUGGCUUCCAACAACUGUGAAGAAGAGGAGGAAACCCGACACUUCAGUUGGCUGGUGUUUGUACAGAUGUAGCUUCUUCCUUAGCAUAUUCGGUUAGGAGGAACUCAGGGAGCGAGGAGCUGAAUCUCAGGAAUGUGCAAAUAAAAUGACUUUGACACAGACCUUUAGGAACAUUUGCAAGACCCAUUCUAACCCCACUUAGAGCAGAGGUUCUUAAUCUUUAAUGGGCAUGAACUCCUUUAGCAGUCUGGUUAUGCUUAUAAAUACUUCUCAGAAGACUGUCUUUAAAGAAGACAGUAAAAGAAAACAUAUUAGGUUAUAAAGGAAUCUGAUUAUAGUGAAAUACAGUUAUUGGAAUAUUUGUUUAAAAAUCUGUGAUGUAGGGACUUUCCUGGCAGUUCAGUGGUUAAAACUUCACCUUCCAAUGCAAGGGGGUGCUGGUUCAAUCCCUUGUUGGGGAACUCCCACUUGCCAUGGUGUGGCCAAAAAAUAAAAAUGAAGCAGUUAAAAAAAAAAUAAAAUAUGUGACAUAGUAAUGUAUGUGUUUCUUGAUUAACGUUAAGAUCUACCUGAAGGUCAAAGAGAAGUGAAGUGAAAGUCACUCAGUCAUGUCCGACUCUUUGUGACCCCAUGGACCAUGCAGUCCAUGGAAUUCUCCAGGCCAGAAUACUGGAGUGGGGAAAGGCCACCCACUCCAGUAUUCUGGCCUGGAGAAUUCCAUGAACUGUAUGAUCCAUGGGGUUGCAGAGAGUCAGACAUGACUGACUUUCACUUUCACUUCACGGUUGAUUCACAGCAAUGUUGUGUUAGUUUCCGUCAUACAGCACAGUGAUUCAGUUAUCAAUAUGUUCUCUUUCAGAUUCUUUUCCCUUAUAGGUUAUUAUAAAAUAUUGAGUAUAGUUCUUUGUGCUAUACAGUAGGUCAUUGUUUGUUUGUUUUGGUCAUGCCAUUUGGCUUGUGGGAUCUUAGUUCCCUGACCAGGGAUUGAACCUGUGCCCUGACCGGUGGAAGCUGAGUCCCAACCACUGGACCUAAUUGCCAACCCACAGGAAGAUGAGUCUAUGGUGAUCAGCAGAUUAAUUCUUUAAAGUGGAAGACUGCCAGCAAGAUGUGUCAGCAGCUCUCCUUGGCGGCAGAAGGUGGGAGAGCCUGCCUUUUGGGAGGACUUAUUCUGCAAUUCAUGGGGUCGCAAAGAGUCGGACACGACUGAGCGACUGAACUGAACUGAACUGAUUCUGGAUGUUUUAGUUUAGUUUUAUUUUUGCAGAAGUGGGAUCAAAUGGCACAUCUACCUUUGUAAUAUGCUUUUUGACUUGAUAAUAUGUCCUAGAGCUCGUAACCAUGUCAACCUGUGUAGUCUUUUUAUAACUGCUGUGGAGGGUCCCUAUAUCAUGUUUUAACUACUUCUUUUUAUUAAGGACAAGAAUCUGCUGGCUCAUUCAGUAAAGAGUCUGCCUGCAAUGCGGGAGACCCAGGUUCAAUCCCAGGGUUGGGAAGAUCCCCUGAAGAAGGAAAUGGCAACCCACUCCAGUAUUCUUCUCUGGAAAAUUACAUGGCCAGAGGAGCCUGGUGGGCUAGGGGUGACAAAAAGUUGGACACGACUGAGAAAUGAGAAAGUUUCACUUUCUCUAUUGAUGAUAUUUGGUUUGCUUCUAGGAUUCUGCUAUAUCAAAAAUAAAUCUAAAAUACAC
ensembl:lncRNA